GACGAACGCUGGCGGCGUGCCUAAUACAUGCAAGUCGAACGCAUUUUCUUUCACCGUAGCUCGCUACACUGAAAGAAAAUGAGUGGCGAACGGGGUAGUAACCCUUGGGUAACCUGCCCAUCAGCGGGGGAAAACCCUUGGAAAUAGGUGCUAAUACUGCAAACUUCAUUUUACCGCAGGGAAAUUGGGUGAAGGGGGCUUUUCUGUAACUGUUGGAGGGACCCACGGUGCAUUGGCAGGUUGGGGGAGUAACGGGCUACCAAGGCUGCGCUGCAUAGCCGACCGGGAAGGGGGAACGGCCACCCUGGGACUGGAGCACGGCCCAGACUCCUACGGGAGGCAGCAGUAGGGAAUCUUCGGCAAUGGACGCAAGUCUGACCGAGCAACGCCGCGUGAGUGAAGAAGGUUUUCGGAUCGUAAAACUCUGUUGUUAGAGAAGAACAAGGAUGAGAGUGGAAAGUUCAUCCCUUGACGGUAUCUAACCAGAAAGCCACGGCUAACUACGUG
rnacentral:rRNA from 1 species